rnacentral:rRNA from 1 species
AUUGAACGCUGGCGGCAUGCUUUACACAUGCAAGUCGAACGGUAACAGGUUAAGCUGACGAGUGGCGAACGGGUGAGUAAUGCAUCGGAACGUGCCCGGUCGUGGGGGAUAACGCAGCGAAAGCUGCGCUAAUACCGCAUACGAUCUGAGGAUGAAAGCGGGGGACCGUAAGGCCUCGCGCGAUCGGAGCGGCCGAUGUCAGAUUAGGUAGUUGGUGGGGUAAAAGGCUCACCAAGCCGACGAUCUGUAGCUGGUCUGAGAGGACGACCAGCCACACUGGGACUGAGACACGGCCCAGACUCCUACGGGAGGCAGCAGUGGGGAAUUUUGGACAAUGGGCGCAAGCCUGAUCCAGCAAUGCCGCGUGCAGGAAGAAGGCCUUCGGGUUGUAAACUGCUUUGUCAGGGAAGAAAUACCUUUGAGCUAAUACCUCGGGGGAUGACGGUACCUGAAGAAUAAGCACCGGCUAACUACGUG